AAAAAAGGAAAUAGUGUCCGGAUAGCAUUACUCUUUAAUUGAUUAGCAUAUCACAUAUCUUCACUCUGCACUUCAUUAUCCUUCUUCGAUCCCCUCUCCUCUCUCCUCGUCUGGAGCUUUCGUUUGGAUCUUCGUGUACUCGCAACUGACCACAAAACCGGUGAGGCGCUCAUUUCCGGGGGGCUUAGGAAACAAUUUGUCUAGUUUAUUGUGCACGUCAAAUGAGAUGACGGCCUGCAAUUUCGUGUCUCCGCAAAGGACUUUCAUACAGAUGGGGACUGCUCCCGACGUCAUGGACAACUCUGGCAUGAAAAAGUUGAUGUGCACACAAUCUCUGAAGGGAGGAAAUGGGGCUGGAUUGGGGGAUAGCAUUGAUGCAUCAGUAAAGGAAGCUAUGCUGAAUGGUAGUGUAGAAAGGAAAGGAUAUUGGUUUGGUUGGAAGCCAACACAAGAUCUCUUCUGAAUCAGUUGAUUAAAUUCUUCCUGAUCAGCAAUCAUGGAGAUUUUCCCUGGAACCAUCUUUGCUACAAAUGUUUGUUAGCUUGAUUACCUGUUGACCAAUUAUUUGUUCACUUGGUGCAAGUUUAAUGGUGAUAUCUCUGAAUAAUUGCUUAUAAUUUAUUGUCUAGAGCAUACAAGUUGAAUCAAUUAACAAAUACAUGGUAAAUUUGGGCAGACCUUGCAGUUUUUCUAACUUCUUGAUGUUAUUGUUGGGCAGACCUUAUUUUCAAUGCAUGAUUUUCAAUAUGUCAAACUUUAUUUACCUUGCUAACCCCAUAUUUCCUUUGAUGCAAAUGUGAAACUUUGUUUUCAGUUUUUCUAAUUUUCCAAUAUUUUUCCUUAUUCACUCAUUGGAUUUUAUUUGCAUGUGGAACCAAAAAAAUGCUGUGCAGCGUUCAUUGUCGGGGGGCUUAGGAAACAAUUUGUCUAGUUUAUUUAGCAUACUGAAUGAGACGACAGCCCGCAAUUUCUUGUCUCAGGAUUUGCAUACAGAUGCAGACUAUUCUCAACAUUGUGGACAACUCUGGCGCCAAAAAUUUGAUGUCCACACAAGCUCUGAAGGGAGAAAAGGGGGCUGAAUUGGGGGAUAACAUUGAUGCAAGAAAUCCAGUUUUAAAGUGAUCCAGUGCGGCCUAUUGUCUCCUCAUCUUUCUAUUCAUAAGCCACAGCUCUCUUUAACAAUGUCAAUUUUCAAUAGGAUCUCCGGGGUUCUGCUAACCUUUGUGGUUUUGUUAAUUGUCUUCUUUUUGUGAAAUUGCCUUCUAAUUGUUUCACCUAUGAGAGUUUCUACCGAAUUUUUGAAUUUUUCUUUCAUCAAGAUAAACUUAUCCUAAUCUUCGAGAUUUGUGCCUUAGCCUUGAAUUAUCGUUUGUAUAGGAUGAUUUGGGGGUUCUCCAUGCAAGGCCAGCCGUUUGGGACCAGAGUACCAAGGAAGUAAAAGCAUGUCAAGAUCCUUUACUUUGGCAGAGCAUAUUACCUGAGGCUAACUGGCUUGGGAAUGGGCACAGCUCUUUUCAAAUACAGCAUUACAUUAGCUUUGCAAACUAAUAUUACAAGCAGUCACCAACUCUAUGAACUUGUAAUGGAAAGCUCUGAUCUCCAGCAUCUUCUCAACUUCUUCAAUGGGGAGCCCUUUAGUUUCAGCUAUUCCUCCACAGACCCCUCGGAACCUCAACGGAUAGAUCUCAGAAUUCACAAUCCAUGGGACAGUUCCCAUUCCAGGAGAGAAAAAUAUUAUGUAGAGUGCCAGGCCGAUUAGCGCAAGCCAUCCAUAUUUGCUUGGGC